GACGAACGCUGGCGGCGUGCUUAACACAUGCAAGUCGAACGGAAAGGCCCUGCUUGCCGGGUACUCGAGUGGCGAACGGGUGAGUAACACGUGGGUGAUCUGCCCUGCACUUCGGGAUAAGCCUGGGAAACUGGGUCUAAUACCGGAUAGGAGCCAUUUUUAGUGUGAUGGUUGGAAAGUUUUUUCGGUGUAGGAUGAGCUCGCGGCCUAUCAGCUUGUUGGUGGGGUAAUGGCCUACCAAGGCGGCGACGGGUAGCCGGCCUGAGAGGGUGGACGGCCACAUUGGGACUGAGAUACGGCCCAGACUCCUACGGGAGGCAGCAGGGGGGAAUAUUGCACAAUGGGCGCAAGCCUGAUGCAGCGACGCCGCGUGGGGGAUGACGGCCUUCGGGUUGUAAACUCCUUUCGCUAGGGACGAAGCUUUUUGUGACGGUACCUAGAUAAGAAGCACCGGCUAACUACGUG
rnacentral:rRNA from 1 species